rnacentral:rRNA from 1 species
GAUGAACGCUAGCUACAGGCUUAACACAUGCAAGUCGAGGGGAAACGACAUUGAAGCUUGCUUCGAUGGUCGUCGACCGGCGCACGGGUGAGUAACGCGUAUCCAACCUGCCUCUGACCAAGGGAUAACCCGUCGAAAGUCGGCCUAAUACCUUAUGCAGUCGUCGGAAGUCAUCUGAUGACGACGAAAGAUUUCAUCGGUGAGAGAUGGGGAUGCGUCUGAUUAGCUUGUUGGCGGGGUAACGGCCCACCAAGGCAACGAUCAGUAGGGGUUCUGAGAGGAAGGUCCCCCACAUUGGAACUGAGACACGGUCCAAACUCCUGCGGGAGGCAGCAGUGAGGAAUAUUGGUCAAUGGGCGAGAGCCUGAACCAGCCAAGUAGCGUGCAGGAUGACGGCCCUAUGGGUUGUAAACUGCUUUUAUGCGGGGAUAAAGUGAGGGACGUGUCCUUCAUUGCAGGUACCGCAUGAAUAAGGACCGGCUAAUUCCGUG